rnacentral:miRNA from 1 species
GGGGCCGCCGCGCUCCCUGUCCUCCAGGAGCUCACUGCCCGCGCCGUGCGCUCCUCCAGGCCAGAGCCCGCGUCCGC